rnacentral:lncRNA from 1 species
UGUGUGUUCAGCUUUUUAUUUUUUAAUUUUGAUUAAAUGAUUUUGUGAUUUUUCACUUUAAAAUAUAAAAUUAUUCAAAAGCAUGUGAAUCUUUAGAAAUACGUUAUAUGUUAAACAUUGGUCUUUUUCACCUUAAAACCAUAAGAGAUAACAAAAGAAGAAAAAUCUAGUAUAUUCACCUAGUACAACCCAAGCAAUAAAAAUCAAAGUCACUACAGAAGAGUUCAAUACAUAGAAACCAUAGUAAUGAUCAUAUUACAAAUUUGAAUUGUGGAAUAAUAAAGAUUAUCUU